rnacentral:rRNA from 1 species
GAAUUUUGGACAAUGGGCGAAAGCCUGAUCCAGCAAUGCCGCGUGCAGGAUGAAGGCCUUCGGGUUGUAAACUGCUUUUGUACGGAACGAAAAGCUUUGGGUUAAUACCCUGGAGUCAUGACGGUACCGUAAGAAUAAGCACCGGCUAACUACGUGCCAGCAGCCGCGGUAAUACGUAGGGUGCAAGCGUUAAUCGGAAUUACUGGGGGUAAGCCGGGCGCGGGCGUUUUUGUAAGAAGAGGGUGAAACCCCGGGCCCAACCCGGGGAACGGCCUUUUGAAUGGAAGGGCAAAGGACGGCAAGGGGGGGUGGAAUUCCGCGUGUAGCAGUGAAAUGCGUAGAUAUGCGGAGGAACACCGAUGGCGAAGGCAACCCCCUGGGCCUGUACUGACGCUCAUGCACGAAAGCGUGGGGAGCAAACA